AUGAUGAGUCCUUAUGGACGAAGUGGGUGAUCCUAUGCUGCCAAGAAAAGCAUCGACGUGAGGUUCAAGCUGCCCGUACCCCAAACCGACUCAGGUAGUCAAGUAGAGAAUACUAAGGGGAUCGAGAGAAUCGUGGUUAAGGAACUCGGCAAAAUGCCCCCGUAACUUCGGGAGAAGGGGGGCCACCU
rnacentral:rRNA from 1 species